AACCUGGUUGAUCCUGCCAGUAGUCAUAUGCUUGUCUCAAAGACUAAGCCAUGCAUGUCUAAGUAUAAGUUUUAUUCAGCGAAACUGCGAAUGGGUCAUUAAAACAGUUAUAGUUUACUUGAUAAUUACUCUUAUAUGGAUACCCGUACUAAUUCUAGAGCUAAUACAUGCUGUACUCCCGACUUCUUGGAAGGGAGGUAUUUAUUAGGUAAUAACCAAUAUUCCUUCGGGUCUAUCGGGGUGAAUCAUAAUAACUGAUCGAAUCGCACGGCCCUUGCCGCGAUAAGUCAUUCAAGUUUCUGCCCCAUCAUCUUUAGAUGGUAGUGUAUUGGACUACCAUGGCGUUCACGGGUAACGGAGGAUUAGGGUUCGAUUCCGGAGAGGGAGCCUGAGAAACGGCUACCACAUCCAAGGAAGGCAGCAGGCGCGUAAAUUACCCAAUCCUGACUCAGGGAGGUAGUGACAAGAAAUAACAAGCGGUAGCCUAGCUACUGAAUUGCAAUGAGCCGAAUUUACACCACUUAAUGAGGACCUAUUGGAGGGCAAGUCUGGUGCCAGCAGCCGCGGUAAUUCCAGCUCCAGUAGC
rnacentral:rRNA from 1 species